rnacentral:rRNA from 1 species
GCCAGACUCCUACGGGAGGCAGCAGUGGGGAAUAUUGCGCAAUGGGGGAAACCCUGACGCAGCAACGCCGCGUGCGGGAUGAAGGCUUUCGGGUUGUAAACCGCUUUCAGCAGGGAAGAUAAUGACGGUACCUGCAGAAGAAGCCCCGGCUAACUACGUGCCAGCAGCCGCGGUAAUACGUAGGGGGCAAGCGUUAUCCGGAUUUACUGGGUGUAAGGGGGCGCAGACGGCGAUGCAAGCCAGGAGUGAAAGCCCGGGGCCCAACCCCGGGACUGCUCUUGGAACUGCGUGGCUGGGGUGCAGGAGAGGUAAGCGGAAUUCCUGGUGUAGCGGUGAAAUGCGUAGAUAUUAGGAGGAACACCAGUGGCGAAGGCGGCUUACUGGACUGUAACUGACGUUGAGGCUCGAAAGCGUGGGGAGCAAACAGGAUUAGAUACCCGAGUA